rnacentral:rRNA from 1 species
UACGUAGGGGGCGAGCGUUGUCCGGAAUUACUGGGCGUAAAGAGCUCGUAGGCGGUUUGUCGCGUCGUCUGUGAAAACCAGCAGCUCAACUGCUGGCUUGCAGGCGAUACGGGCAGACUUGAGUACUGCAGGGGAGACUGGAAUUCCUGGUGUAGCGGUGAAAUGCGCAGAUAUCAGGAGGAACACCGGUGGCGAAGGCGGGUCUCUGGGCAGUAACUGACGCUGAGGAGCGAAAGCGUGGGUAGCGAACAGG